GCCUGAUGCAGCGACGCCGCGUGAGGGAUGACGGCCUUCCGGUUGUAAACCUCUUUCAGCAGGGACGAAGCGAAAGUGACGGGACCUGCCGAAGAAGCUCCGGCUAAUUCCGUGCCAGCAGCCGCGUUAAUACGUAGGGCGCAAGCGUUGCCCGGAAUUAUUGGGCGUAAAGGGCUCGUAGCCGGUUUGUCAAGUCGCGUGUGAAAUUCCAGGGCUCACCUCGGGAUCUCCGUUGGAUACGGGCGGACUAGAGUCCGGUAGAGGAGACUGGAAUUCCUGGUGUAGCGGUGAAAUGCGCAGAUAUCAGGAGGAACACCGAUGGCGAAGGCAGCUCUCUGGG
rnacentral:rRNA from 1 species